rnacentral:tRNA from 1 species
GCGGAGAUGGCGGAAUGGCAGACGCGCUAGAUUCAGGUUCUAGUGGUGGCAACACUGUGAGGGUUCAAGUCCCUUUCUCCGCAUCA